rnacentral:snRNA from 8 species
CAGCCAUUGCACUCCGGCUGUGCUGACCCCUGCGAAUUUCCCAAAUGUGGAAAUCUCGAUUGCAUAAUUUCUGGUAGUGGGGACUGCGUUCGCGCUCUCCCCU